rnacentral:ncRNA from 1 species
ACCGCCAGCACCUUGGCGAUGUAGGGGAUCAGCGGCAGGUUCAGGAUCAGAAGCACCACGUUGCCGAUAUACAUCGAGAUGAUGACCGCCCAGAAGAUUUGCGGAUCGUCGACCAUCAGGCGCGGCCC